AAAUCCCCGGGCUCAACCUGGGAACUGCAUUUGAGACUGUAUAGCUGGAGUACGGCAGAGGGGGAUGGAAUUCCGCGUGUAGCAGUGAAAUGCGUAGAUAUGCGGAGGAACACCGAUGGCGAAGGCAAUCCCCUGGGCCUGUACUGACGCUCAUGCACGAAANCGUGGGGAGCAAACAGGAUUAGAUACCCUGGUAGUCCACNCCCUAAACGAUGUCAACUGGUUGUUNGGUCUUCACUGACUCAGUAACGAAGCUAACNCNUGAAGUUGACCGCCUGGGNAGUACNGCCGCAAGUUGAAACUCAAAGGAAUUGACNGGG
rnacentral:rRNA from 1 species